rnacentral:rRNA from 1 species
UACUGGUCCGGCUGGACCUUUCCUUCUGGGGAAUCUCAUGGCCUUCACUGGCUGUGGGGGGAACCAGGACUUUUACUGUGAAAAAAUUAGAGUGUUCAAAGCAGGCCUUUGCUCGAAUACAUUAGCAUGGAAUAAUAGAAUAGGACGUGCGGUUCUAUUUUGUUGGUUUCUAGGACCGCCGUAAUGAUUAAUAGGGAUAGUCGGGGGCGUCAGUAUUCAGCUGUCAGAGGUGAAAUUCUUGGAUUUGCUGAAGACUAACUACUGCGAAAGCAUUCGCCAAGGAUGUUUUCAUUAAUCAGGGAACGAAAGUUAGGGGAUCGAAGACGAUCAGAUACCGUCGUAGUCUUAACCAUAAACUAUGCCGACUAGGGAUCGGACGGUGUUUCUAUUAUGACCCGUUCGGCACCUUACGAGAAAUCAAAGUUUUUGGGUUCUGGGGGGAGUAUGGUCGCAAGGCUGAAACUUAAAGAAAUUGACGGA